rnacentral:rRNA from 1 species
AUUGAACGCUGGCGGCAUGCUUUACACAUGCAAGUCGAACGGCAACAGGCUGCGAGGUGCUGACGAGUGGCGGACGGUUGAGUAAUGCAUCGGAAUGUGUCCAGUUCUGGGUGAUAACUACUCGUAAGAGUAGCUAAUACCCCAUACGAUCUCUUGCUGAAAGCGGGGGACCGUAAGGGCUCUCGCGAUUUUAGCCGCCUAUGUCAGAUUAGGUAGUUGGUGGGGUAAAGGCUCACCAAGCCCACGAUCUGUAGCUGGUCUGAGAGGAUGACCAGCCACACUGGAACUGAGACACGGUCCAGACUCCUACGGGAGGCAGCAGUGGGGAAUAUUGGACAAUGGGCGCAAGCCUGAUCCAGCAAUGCCGCGUGCAUGAAGAAGGCCUUCGGGUUGUAAACUCCUUUUGUACGGAAAGAAACGGAGCUGGUUAAUACCCCGGGCUAAUGACGGUACCGUAAGAAUAAGCACCGGCUAACUACGUG